UGCCGUCACUCGACCGACACUGCAUCUUUCUCCGAUGGCCACCGAUUUCCAUCCAGGUACCGGCCCUUCCUGAUCCAGUUGCUGUUUUUUGUACCCCUUUAUGAUCUAUUUCCUUUUCCUGAAAACUUUCAUAUGUGCCUCCAUUUGGAUUCACCAGAAACUAACGAGCAUUUUCUCCUCCCUCAUUUGCUGGGUACUGGUGGAAGCAAAUGGCUGUACUGAAACACUGGUUUUGAAUAGGCCAGUGUAGUUGAUGCCUCUCCUCUGCAGCCGUAUGUCUUCAAGGGAUUGUACUAGUACUACAGGCACAACUCCCUUUAUAAAGGUUGUGUUAGAUAAUUUGAUUAUAUCUUCCAAGUUACAGGACUCAAAAAAUCACUUCUUAAGAGGAAGAAAACAGAGUUGAACUGGUCAUUGUCAAGGUAAUGGAUAAUACUGUAUGCUUGUAGUCAUUUAAUAAUUAAUAUUUCACCAAUUUCUCAAAUAUAGCUUAUGCACAUCUUGUUUUCUGGUCUUGUAAUUUGCGGGUACUAUUCC
rnacentral:lncRNA from 1 species